rnacentral:rRNA from 2 species
GGCUCAGAACGAACGCUGGCGGCAGGCUUAACACAUGCAAGUCGAGCGCCCCGCAAGGGGAGCGGCAGACGGGUGAGUAACGCGUGGGAAUCUACCUAUCUCUACGGAACAACUCCGGGAAACUGGAGCUAAUACCGUAUACGUCCUUUUGGAGAAAGAUUUAUCGGAGAUGGAUGAGCCCGCGUUGGAUUAGCUAGUUGGUGGGGUAAUGGCCUACCAAGGCGACGAUCCAUAGCUGGUCUGAGAGGAUGAUCAGCCACACUGGGACUGAGACACGGCCCAGACUCCUACGGGAGGCAGCAGUGGGGAAUAUUGGACAAUGGGCGCAAGCCUGAUCCAGCCAUGCCGCGUGAGUGAUGAAGGCCCUAGGGUUGUAAAGCUCUUUCAACG